rnacentral:lncRNA from 1 species
UUCUGCUAAUAUAUACCCAACCAACCAUACAUAAUAGGUUCUCAAUUUAUACUGCAAAAUCAUUUACAUUUGAAAGAACCAUAAUUCAAUUGUUGUUCCAAGGAAAACCAUUGUCCUGUCUACUUUAUACAUUUGGGUUCUUCUAAAUCUUGUUUGAAAUAUGGCUGCUUCACUGCAACAAAAUGAUCCAACUCCCAUAGCAGCUUUCGUCAAAAAGGAAACACAUUAGCAAACAUGUGUUCCGGUAGAGGUACUAUGAUUCGCACUUCAUCGUUUUCCUGCCCUCGAAACCCAUGUCCACCAUUUGCAGCCCAGUUUAUAAAUCCCUUGCACCCUUCUUCCCUCAUUUGCCUUAUACUUUAUGUUGCACCACUCAGUGCACCGUACACAUAUACAGAGAUAUGGGAAAAAUUGUGAAAGAUGUGCAUUAUCGUUAGAAAAGAAGGAGAAGAAAACUGCAUCAUCCAAAUCCAAUAACCUUGCCAAAAUAUUCAAACUAGAAAUGAAAUGAAAUUUAUCCAUUAAUCUUUACCACGAGAAUGGACUCUUCGUACCCAUGAAAAACCUCAAAAAGUUCGACAUUUUAGCUUCAUGUUGUCUGUCCAUUUGCUCGAAUUGCAGAAAUGGAAGGGUGUUGGUUCUUUACGCUUCAUUUGGGCUGUUGGACGAGAGAACAACGGCGGGAAGGACCGGGCUAUGGGUAUCGACUGUCGAACCACAAUUUUGGGGAUUUAGGGUUUCUAUUUCGCUUCCAAUUUCUUCUUCAACCUUGUUUCUGGAUUCUGCAAUUUGGGUGGGUUUUCUAAGGAAAGGAAAGUGAAACUGUGAAAGGCGUGUUCCUGGUUUUUGGGGCUCAAAGACGUGUUCAUUUUGCUGAUAUGGACCUGAUUUGGCAGAACAUUUAACAAUUGUAAGGAUUUAACAGCCAACUCAGUUUUCCAUUUGCCACGUAGACUCGUCAACUAACAGAUCUGGUCCGGUGCGUAAUGGGCGGUAACGGAUUAAAGUUCAGUGGCCAGUGGAAAAAGUUUGAAAGUUCGAUGGGUAAGUCGUGACGUACCUCAAAGAUCAGUGACUAAUGAAACAUUUAACUCGAAAUUAAUGGGGGUAAAGAGAGGGUUAAAUAGAAUUUCCAAGUUGGAACUGAAAUUGGUAAGUAAAAUAAAAAUAUCAUAAUCAAAAUUAUAGAACUUUUUCCAAAUUCAAAUUCCAUAAGCCAUAAAAAUGAUUACACGUAAUUACCAUGCAUAUAUGUGUAAAAAAAUCAAUACCACAAAAUUAAUUUUGGUACACUUGACACGGUAAUUAUACUUAUAAAAAAAUUACUACCUACAUUAUGGGAAAAAAAUAAAAAAAUAAAAAAGUGAAAAAGUCUAUUCUUUGUGCAAACCUCAAACCCUGGUGUGAUGGUCCCCGCAAGUUAUACACUUGCGACUAUUACUCCCUAUCUUUGCGUUAAUUAAUCUCAAUUAUGCCAUCUUUCUACGUUGAAUUUCUCACAUCGCCACCACCCGCACUAGUUUGUUAAAAUUUUCUAAUUUUUGUAGCCAUUUCCGGUGAUCUUAGUAAAUUCUCAUCGCUUGAUUUUAACUUUGUUAACAAAUUUAGGUUUGGACGUCUGGUGGAUUCAUCUCUGUAUUUCAAUAUUUGAAACUAUCAAUUUAUUUGAAGAGAUAAACAGAAUUAUUAGGGCUCACGUAAUUACUGGAAACAAACUCGAACUUGAACUUAUAUCCAUAACAUUUUAUUUUAUUUUUAGAAAAAUUGUGAGUUGACAAUACAAAUUAUUUUUUCUAUUUUAUUUUUUAAAUAUCUAGCAAAAAUAGAAGAAAUAAAUAUCCCGCCAAAUACAUAUUUCAACAUUUUUUAAUCCAUUGCAUAUGGCACCAAAUAGUUUUCAAUACCUAGCAUAAUAGCAUCCAGUUUCAACUGUGAAGGCAAGCGGUGCCUCAAGAAGGAUUUAUGGUGUGGACAGAGCGUAAAAUGCAAUCAUGUGUGACUACGACGAAGAGGGAUAUGAUUAAAUUAUUCAAAUGAAUGAAUAUGAUUGAUUAUUGUAUAAACUGCUCGGCCUUGCAAACUUGACACUUGUUGAACCGAUGUAUUGAGUUAAGUUGAAUAAAUUAUAAAAAAAUUAAAAGCUUAUGAAAUGGACAAGUUCAGUUCCAGCCCUGGUAUCUACAUUUCCAAUUCAUGAACAAAGAACCGUUCGAGACCCGGUUGGUUCUUGACUCCAUUACCUUUUUCUUUUUCUUUUUUUUUUAAAGAAUUGGACUUAGAUUUCGAUUUGGGAGGUUUUAUUCCGAUUAAAAUGCUGAUGUUUAGAAGAAUUUUGCCCGUUAUUGCCGGAGGAGACAGCCACAUUUAUUGACCAAUAGAGGGCAAAAUUACUUAGUUGCCCCUACAAAUGAAAUUCAUACUAGGUGAAGUAAUGGCAAAAUCGUCUUUAUGCAUCCUAUGCAAUCAAAAUUAUGCGCCUGUUUGUUUUUCAUUCUUUCCUCAUUAAAAUGAAAAAUAGGACCGAUAUCCAUCAUAUCAAGUCAUCAAAUUUGAAUUUCUAUCUCUUAUGUGGAACCCAUAACGACUAUAUUUUUCAUUCUCGUUCUCACCAAAAUGGGAAACAAACAGGGCAUGUACCACUGCAUCCCACUUCCAAGAAAACGGUCAAAAAGUAAAUCAACCUUUCGGCCAAAAUGGCUGCCAAACAUGGAGCUAACCCCUGCUUUUUUGAAAUUUUAAACUGGUCAAAUUUUUAUUUUAACCACACCAUUUAGCUGUAUUCAAUUUCUAACUAUAUUUCUUGAAAAUCACAAAUUUAUACUCUCAAAAAGCUUUGUCAAACAGGGAUUAAUUAUGAUUACAUCAUCUCAACCUGCAAAGUUGCCAUUUUGGUGAUUUCUCAAUGUCAAUACCGCAAACUUGUAAAUCCCGUGUUGGCGUUGAGAGUGAAUUCUAGACUUCUAAGUAGAAACUCAAGAGGUCAGACACGAAUAUUUACCAGUUUAUCAGUUGUAAGCAAAGGAAUAAAUAUAUAUAUUAGACCGAAACUAAAUAAAUAGGAUUCACUGAAAAAAAAUGAGGUGAAAAUUUUGAAACAUGCAUUUUCCUAUGCUUACGAGUUUUGGGUUUUUGGAUAUGAUUAACAGAGAAAAAUGAAAAGUUAUAAUCUUAAUAAAAUGUACCAAACACUCACACAGUAGCUAGAAGUAAAAAAUAAAUACUUAUCUGGUGACAUGCAGUUCUUGAGGAUUGAGACAUACAAAGCCUCCAGUGUAAUAUUGGUUGCCCAAAUGAGCAUCUCGCGAUCACCAACACCAGCAUCUCAUUUACGUUUUGAAAUGCGUCAAUGCUUGGUGAUCUUGGAAUACUCAUUUGAGCAAGAAACAUUACAUGGAAGAAGCCA